GUCGAAACAUUUAAGUAUCGUUCCUCUACUACUCCUCGACCAAGACGAUGCCAGCUCAGAAUAUCUUAGUUCGUAAAUAAAACGAAAGUUGAAAAAUCUAAAUUAAAAUAUACCUAUAUCAUAACAAAAAAAAAUAAAAAUACACGGUUUUGAUUAGAAGUAUGAUUAAUUAACAUUGUAUUACAGCAACUUCAACGAAAAUGGGAUCCUACCGUGUGUUAAUGAAAUAAAUAAUAUUUUAUCAACUAUGCCAUGAAAUAUGACGUCACUUGGUCAAAAUUAUAUUUAAAAUCGGUAAUAU